CUCACUCUACAACUUCAAACAGAUAUUGCCAAGGAUCUGAAAGUGAACCUUAUUGACGAAAGGACUCAUUUUCAAAAACUGGGUUGCAAGGUCGCUCGAGGAAACAAUAUUACCUUUGAUCCUCUUGAAUUUCCACCUUUGGGGAAGAGGUUAGAUCAAAACUCAUUAUUUUUGUCACUGAAAUUAUCUGACAUCAAGUAUUCCAAGGUUCUGCAGAGGUUCCAAUUGCGUGGAAAAUAUAUAAUUAAAAGUUUUGCUUAUACUACGAAAUUAUUCUGAUGCAUUUCCUCUUCAAGCAGUGUUAAGGAUUCUGAAAUUUAGCUUGGGAUGUCAAAAACUAAAACAAAAGAUAGAAGCAGGAAGGUUAUUGCUGCAAGGCAAGUCAAGCAAAGGAUGCAUAUACAUGGGCACCCAUUGAUGUCCAAGUAGUAUAAACACCUGCAUUGUUCAAGCCAUCGCCAUAAUUUGGAGAGCCACUACACAAAACUCAAUAUCGAAAGAGAAACAUCAUAAUGGUAAGGCAAAGGGAUGAUCUACAAAAUUGAACACUGUAAAUCUCCCCUACCUGCAAGCUCAAAUUUAUGUAACUAUUAGAUAGUUUUGGCACAGUGGAUAUCAAAAACACAGGCAAUGUGACAUUCGGAUCCACUUGCUAUAGUACACACUAGUUUCUAUUCUUG
rnacentral:misc_RNA from 1 species